rnacentral:rRNA from 1 species
AUUGAACGCUGGCGGCAGGCUUAACACAUGCAAGUCGAACGAGUGGCGGACGGGUGAGUAAUGUCUGGGAACGUGCCUGAUGGAGGGGGAUAACUACUGGAAAGGGUAGCUAAUACCGCAUACUAUCAGAGCUGCCCAGAUGGGAUUAGCUAGUUGGUGGGGUAACGGCUCACCAAGGCUACGAUCCCUAGCUGGUUUGAGAGGAUGACCAGCCACACUGGAACUGAGACACGGUCCAGACUCCUACGGGAGGCAGCAGUGGGGAAUAUUGCACAAUGGGCGCAAGCCUGAUGCAGCCAUGCCGCGUGUAUGAAGAAGGCCUUCGGGUUGUAAAGUACUUUCAGCAGGGAGGCGUUACCCGCAGAAGAAGCACCGGCUAACUCCGUGCCAGCCGCCGCGGUAAUAC